UGGGGGAUAUUGCACAAUGGGGGGAACCCUGAUGCAGCAACGCCGCGUGAGUGAAGAAGUAUUUCGGUAUGUAAAGCUCUAUCAGCAGGGAAGAUGAUGACGGUACCUGCAGAAGAAGCCCCGGCUAACUACGUGCCAGCAGCCGCGGUAAUACGUAGGGGGCAAGCGUUAUCCGGAUUUACUGGGUGUAAAGGGAGUGUAGGCGGUACGGCAAGUCUGAUGUGAAAACCCUAAGCUCAACUAAGGGAGUGCAUUGGAAACUGUCGGACUAGAGUGUGGGAGAGGCAGGCGGAAUUCCUAGUGUAGCGGUGAAAUGCGUAGAUAUUAGGAGGAACACCAGUGGCGAAGGCGGCCUGCUGGACCAAGACUGACGCUGAGGCUCGAAAGCGUGGGGAGCAAACAGG
rnacentral:rRNA from 1 species